rnacentral:rRNA from 1 species
AGGUAGUGCCUCGUUUAUAAAUCAUUUGUGUAAUUAAAUGUUUCGACUAUGUGGGUUUUAGGACAUUUCUGAAUCGAUGCAAACUCAGAAUAAUAUGAAGUUCGAUCACGGGAGACUCACUGCGGGUGCUAAGGUCCGCAGUUGAAAGGGAAACAGCCCAGACCGCCAAAUUAUGUCACAAAGUCAUAGCUAAGUGGGAAACGAAGUGGGAAGGCCCAGACAGACAGGAGG